GCAUAGAGGUAAGUAACACGCGGCAUCGCCAUUCGGGAGGCCGUUCGCAUUUUUGAAUGUAACACGCGGGCUGGCCAAUUUACUGGCGAUAUCGAGUGCUACUUUGCAUUAGACUUUUUACAGCGAAAAAUGGCUGAUUCAACAUGGAAAAUGCACAGUCAUUAUUUGUCUUCGUGAUUUUACAAAGAAGAACCUUGUCUGGAAAAGCCUCAGGCUGAACAUCUACCAUACAUUGGGCUCUUAGAUACUUCUGAAGCUGCACCAAGCAAUCAACAAACACAUAGAAUCUACUACUAAAAGUGUUAUGGAUAUUGAGGAUGGUUUUGAUGCAAGAGAAACAGGGGAGAAAUUAAAAGAAUUUAUUGAUCAAUUCAAAAACACACUACUAAAGAAUUUGGAAGACGAUCCACAACACUUUCAACCGGCUAUAGAAGCAUUAAUGAAAAAUUACCACUCGAAUGCAAAAACACCACUUCAACUAUUAAGUUUAUUGCAUACUUCUUUUAAAAACACAAUAUAUAAGCCAAGUCAUCCACCAACAACUAGAAAGGGAAAAAAAAUAUCAGUGCAGCCUACAGCCAUAGCAAGAAGACAUUCGAAAUAUUCAGGAAAAAGAAGAUUCCAAGGAGGUAAAGGUAAAUGGGGAAAGAAAAAGCCAGUUGCACCACAUUCGCUUGGCAAAUGUGUCGAAAACAAUAAAGGACUAGGUGACAGAAAAAUAGCGAAUUAACUAUUUCCUUUUUUAUGAUUAUUAUUACACAUUUAAUUUCAUUUUGUUAAUAAACUUUUUUUUUAAACGGU